AUGCCUAAUACAUGCAAGUCGAACGCGUGGAGCGAUCCACGAGUGGCGGACGGGUGAGUAACGCGUGGGAACCUGCCCUUGAGUGCGGGAUAACCGAGGGACCACUUCGGCUAAUACCGCAUGCGCCCCCUUACGGGGGGAAAGAUUUAUCGCUCGAGGAGGGGCCCGCGUCGGAUUAGCUAGUUGGUGGGGUAACGGCCUACCAAGGCGAUGAUCCGUAGCUGGUCUGAGAGGAUGAUCAGCCACACUGGGACUGAGACACGGCCCAG
rnacentral:rRNA from 1 species